ACACGUAUGAAAGUCAAGCUGAAAGACUUUACUCAAUGAUGUAAGUGGUGGUGCAUGGUCGUUCGUAGUUCGUGGAUUGAUUUGUCUGGUCUAUUCCGAUAACGAGCGAGACCCCAACGUUCCUAAUAGGGGUAACAGCCCGGUGGCCGCAAGGUCACUAGCAGUUGCCUAAGAUUUUGCUUCUUAGACGUAUCAGAGCCGAUAAGGUUCUUGAAAUGGGUUAAUAACAGGUCAGUCAUGCCCUUAGAUGUUCUGGGCCGCACGCGCGUUACAAUGGCAUGUAAAGCAAGUGCUGCAAAAGGUGUCCCCGGGGCCGAAAGGUCCUGGUAACCCUUAGUCCCUGCCUUGACUGGGACAGAUCUUUGCAAUUAUUGGUCUCAAACGAGGAAUUUUUAGUAAUCGCAGGUCAUUAACCUGCGAUGA
rnacentral:rRNA from 1 species